rnacentral:misc_RNA from 1 species
GAAAUGCGAUAAGUAAUGUGAAUUGCAGAAUUCAGUGAAUCAUCGAAUCUUUGAACGCACCUUGCGCCCCUUGGCCAUUCCGAGGGGCAUGCCUGUUUGAGUAUCACGAACACCUCAACUCUCAUGGUUUGCCGUGAUGAGCUUGGACUUUGGGGGUUUUGCUGGCCGUGCGGUUGGCUCCUCUCAAAUAGAUCAGCUCGCCAGCGUUUGGUGGCUUCACGGGUGUGAUAACUGUCUACGCCUGUGGUCCAUCGGGUGACCUUCAGCGAUGGAGGUUUGCUGGAGCUUACAAAUGUCUCUCCUUGGCAGAGACGGCUUUUCGAACGUUUGAUCUCAAAUCAGGUAGGACUACCCGCUGAACUUAA